AUAUAUAUAUAUAUAUUUGUAAACAUGUGUCUCAGGAUCACCUGCUCAAAGGUUUGUAGUAUGUGAUAUAAGACCCCAGAAGCCUUGAAGUCUUUGCAGGAGAUCAGCCGCAUGGAAAGAGAUAAAGCGUACUUAAUUAUUCAGCUCUUAAUCUGUCCCUUCAUGGCCCCAGGGGAAAAGGUAACGCUCAGACUGUAAGUAGGACCUUAAGUGACCAAUCAUCAACGUGACACGAAGAGUCAGACAUUACUUUAUAAGAAAAAAUGUUAUUAAGAUUUGCUAUAUGUCAGAGUCAAAUAGACCAGAGACUGAAUUUUAAACUGCUUUUAUUAAAGGCUAUGGUUUUAGAAGAAAACAUAAGCUGUACACUUUUUGAAUAUUUUCACAUAUGGUUUUAUGUUUUUGGACAUAGAGCCACAGUGAGAUUGAAUAAAUGUGAAAUGACUGAAAGCUGUUUAGACAGUCGUGCAGCGUCAUCGUAGAAGCACUUUCGCUGCUUUGUAAUGGGAUUUUAAUGCUGUACAGACUGCAAGGUAGCAAAUAAUUGAGUUUUGCAAACAAAAGAAAUCAGUAAACGUCUGUUUGUGUUCAUCCUCCUUUACAAUGAUGCUCCUAAAUAAAAUUCAGCAUUACUAACUGUCUUCAGAAGUCACACAGUCAUGAAAACACCAGAUUGUUGGGCGAUGAGACAAUUUCCCAAGCAAUGAACACAUCUUGGCUUUUCAAUUCGUCCACAACCUGCAGAGUUUGGUUCUCCACCAGCCUGGUCUUCAUGGGAGAGUGCCAAGAAGAGAGACACUUGAAAGAAAGUCACUGCUGGUCCUGUCCCACAAGCCAUGUGAGGACAAAGUAAGCAGGUGGAAGACGAUGUUCUGGUAAGAUCCUGUCUGCAGAACUCUAUUUGUGGUGGAAUAUCCCAUAUAUCACCACAAACGCACUGCUCCCUACCAUGAAAACUGAUGGUGGAAGUAUUUUGCUGACGGGGUGUUAAAAAACAGAGAUACUCCAUGUAGAACCUGCUGCUAAUGAGCGUCACCAUCCAGCAGAUGACCCUGAUCAUUUUGCCAACUAUGUAGUGAAAUAAUCCUUUCAACUGCUGACUUAGAAAUUUCUCUUCGUAAACGUUCUUCAUUCAAUUUGACGCAAGUUUGGAAGGAACUGUGUUAUUCUGUAGUUAUUUGGGAAAUAACUCGUUACAUGUAACUGUGUUAUACAUUGUAAUUUACUGGGGUUUUUUCCCCCCAAAUCUUUCAGAGCAUUUCUCUGAUCAGAAUUAAAGUUAUUAUAGUUGCUGGUUCAACCUCCACAAUAUUUAGUCAUUUGCAAACAUCAUGUUAACAGUUCCACAUUUCUUCCAACAAAUUGCAAACCCGUUAGGAUACAUGCGUCAAUUGCUUCCAUUCUUUUCUGCUUUAUUUGUAACAUUACCAUUUGCUCGAGUCAGUCGAAUGAACUGAAGUCAGGAAUGUUAAAUGGUCAUUCUCUACAAACUUAAUGGUUCUCAUUUUGCUGCUUGAGUCGUUACAAACAAAAAAAUGUCGAGCAGGUUGUCAGAAUCUGUCAUGCAAAUGUUCCCAACCCAGACAUAAUCUGAAACACCUGCGGUUUUAAUUCCAGCCAACAGUGUUUCUACACACUAUUGACUCGUGGAGCAUAAACGCAAAUUCAUGCGCCGCUUUGGAGAUUUGUUUUUGUGAAAGACAAAAAAGACUUUUGCUACUUUAUAUUUAUGGGAUGUUUUGUGAUGAUCUAUCACAUCAAAAUGUGUGGCUAUAAAGUUAAAAAUGAUGAAAACUGUAAAUUUGUAUGAAUACAUGUGCAAGGCAGGCACUGUGCUUUGUUUACAGUGUGCUGCUUCAGUGAGCAAGGUGACAAACCUUCACAUGUCAAGAUACAGUAGGGUAUUAGAAAGCAGAGAGGGGAGGGGGGUAUAUAAGAUAAUCACAUUGCAGAAUGCACACACAUAAGGAGCUGACCAGAGACACAUCAGCAUGAGAUUCGAUGACGACAUCACCUGCCUGGAAUGCUUUGCCACAGACAUCACAGUGAUCUGUCUGUAGGAAGCUUACUGGGACGUGGAGCUCAGCGACUUGACUCAGUAUGGAAUUAUCUAGAAAAGCUCCUCAUGUCAUCGUGCAACCUGUUCUCCAGACCUAUUCCCUGCUCUUCUCUGUCUAAUGAGUUCACUCAAAUUGUGUUUGUUGAUGUAAUGUUUAAAAACACUUUCUCAGAAAAAAAUUCAAAUAUGAGUUAAAAGUCAUUGUUGAGUUUUAUAAACUUCUCUGAAGUCUCUAUUCCUUAUGGUAGAAUUCUCAAUCGCUCCCAUACUUUGCACUUCCCAUGUGUUUCCAUAGAUCUGCCUUUUUUUCCUUUUUUUUUUUUUACAUUUCUUUAUUGAGAAUGACAAUGCAAUUAAAAUUGAUUUAAUUUAACUUGGUGUCGAUGUUAUGCAUUUUAACACUUCAUAUGAAAUUUAAAGAACUUGGUAAGUUUACUUUUUAAAAGUGCAAAUAAUAGCCAUCAUCGUUUUUGUUUCAGUCUGAUGCUGUGGGUGUAACUUUUGUGUUUGAGCUUGGUUUGUUCACAAAUACAUCUCAGCAAAUAGCCAAUUAUUCCUUAUCCAACCUUGCUGUACCCAAAUAAAUAAGUGAAUAAAACACCAACCAAACUGGAACCAGUUGGAAUGGUGAAGAGCUAAGCAGGAGCAUAGUCACAGGCAGCCAUUUUGAACAUACUUCUUUCACAAGAUGAAAAAGAAAUGGUAAGAUGAUACAGUAUAAUAAUUGUAGUGGGAGUGAAUUCAUGGAUUUAGUUCACAUUAGUGAGGUUCAUACCUACUAUAUACCAAGACUAAGCUAUUGCGGGCUGUGGUCAUUAAUCUCAUGAUUACCAAAUAAUUGGUUCUAAAGUCAAUAAAGUCAGGCUAUGUAACAAUCUGUUUCUGGCUUUUUUCUUGUGAUUUUGUUUCGGCAUUCAACCUCUGUACAUUUUAUGCAACUAUGACUUUUUAUCCCACAUUGCAUAGUGACCAUGACUUUUGUUAUUCAAAUUUUACUGACAAUAAACAUUUAUUAGACAUUAUUAAAAUAUCAUGAAUUUGUGCUGUUGAAAUCAAAACAAUUUUCAGCAUUAAUGCAAGAACAACCUACAUUUUAAUGCAACUUUUCUGCAAAACUGUCUUAUCCAUGCGUAGAUAUGGGCUGGUAUUAAAAAAACAUUCCUUUCCUUUACAUUUAUAAUUAAAGACUUACUUAAACAACUGUGUAUAGUAGCAGGUAAAAUGGCAAUUAUUUCAUUUUUUUUCUGCUACAUUGUGUUAAAUUGUAGUUAGUUAAUAAAACACUUAUUUGCCUCAUGUCUUUUCCCUUUUUUUAAAAUCAAAAUCAGCUAACUGAAGUCAAAUUACCAAAUUAUUCAAUGAUACAUUUUAAGAAAAUUUGAUUGGAAUUGGUAUUGGGGAUUCUAACCGUUUUGACUUGGUUUUAGAUCGUUACCAAAAUCCCCAGAAUCACACAGCCCUAAAUACCAGAUGAACAAAACAACAAAAAUACAUAGACCAGCACUUCUAUUUGAUCGUGUUCUUAAUCUGUAUUUUGUGCUAAUAUUUAUCAGAAUAUAGUUAGUAUAUAUUAGCAUAAAUGUAAAAGCCGAACCCGUUAGGACAGUCAAUGCAAUUUUAAAGGAAAAACAAACAGGAGGCUCAAGCACAACAAAACAUUUUAUAUAAAACAUUUUAUAUGGACAUUCAAUAACAAAAAAGGAAAAAAUAAAAUAAAACAAUGGUAGUCAAAGGGAUACAGACAGGACAAAGGGACCGUUUAUUGAAAAACUAUAUUAACUAUGAAGAAUGACCACAUAGUUUUCUAUAAUACAGGGUCAAGAAAGCCAUGACAGGAAAAUGAAGCUGCCAAAUUCCAUUUUCUUCAGCAGCCAUUUUGUUUGUCAGCAGGCAACUUUUUUUUUUUUUCUUUUUUU